UGAUGAAGGUCUUAGGAUUGUAAAAUUCUUUCACCGGGGACGAUAAUGACGGUACCCGGAGAAGAAGCCCCGGCUAACUUCGUGCCAGCAGCCGCGGUAAUACGAAGGGGGCUAGCGUUGCUCGGAAUUACUGGGCGUAAAGGGAGCGUAGGCGGACUGUUUAGUCAGAGGUGAAAGCCCAGGGCUCAACCUUGGAAUUGCCUUUGAUACUGGCAGUCUUGAGUACGGAAGAGGUAUGUGGAACUCCGAGUGUAGAGGUGAAAUUCGUAGAUAUUCGGAAGAACACCAGUGGCGAAGGCGACAUACUGGUCCGUUACUGACGCUGAGGCUCGAAAGCGUGGGGAGCAAACAGGAUUAGAUACCCUGGUAGUCCACGCCGUAAACGAUGAGUGCUAGUUGUCGGCAUGCAUGCAUGUCGGUGACGCAGCUAACGCAUUAAGCACUCCGCCUGGGGA
rnacentral:rRNA from 1 species